rnacentral:rRNA from 1 species
UACGAAGGGGGCGAGCGUUGUUCGGAAUUACUGGGCGUAAAGGGCGCGCAGGCGGCUCUGUAAGUCAGAGGUGAAAGCCCCGGGCUUAACCUGGGAAUUGCAUUUGAUACUCUGGAGCUUGAGUACGGGAGAGGAGAGUGGAAUUCCCAGUGUAGAGGUGAAAUUCGUAGAUAUUGGGAAGAACACCGGUGGCGAAGGCGGCUCUCUGGACCGUAACUGACGCUGAGACGCGAAAGCGUGGGGAGCAAACAGG